CAAAGAGAGAAAAGAGUCGUUUCCUGAUUAAAAAACAUUGUUAUUCAUAUUUCGUAUUGUAUUCAUGUUGAAUACUUCUUUUUCUUCUUCUUCACCCUCUAGGCACUUUCUUCUCUUCUUUCCCAUCGAAACUUUCUUUUGACAUCAACGAAAUAUCCCGUAGGGUUUUUGGCAUUUUUGGAGAAGCAAAUGCGCUCCAAGUGGAGCUCAUUUUCUCCUUAAAAAUUCCAUCCUUCAUUUUUUGGCACCGUUUUAUCCACACACUGUUACCAACCUUGUUUCGUUAAUUUUUUUUGCCACACACCCACGUUUUGUCUAGAAAAGCCCCACUAGGUCCUUCUUCCCAAAAAUGCUCUUGUCAGAUAAUGUUCAUUCACACAAACACAAAAAUUAUAACAUGCUGCUGUUCUUAUCCCCUCCCUAAUGCCCAAUCCCCGGUUCUAUUUUUUUCUUUUCUUUUUUAAAAUUUCUAAUUUUCUUUCUAAUUCUUUUUUGCUGGGUUGUUGUUCUCCACUCUCCUGGCGGGUCCAUCCUCUUUCUUCUUCUUCUCUCUCUCUCCUGAAAAAGUCAUCUUCCUAAAAAUGGUUUCUAGAAGAUUCACUAGAUUUUCUAGAUUCUCCAGAAUUCUUUUUUUUUCUACUCAAAUCGAAAAAUCCUUGUCGAGUCACAAAAAUUCCUCUUGCUUCUCUCUUCUCUCCUUCCCUCCCACGCUCUCUCGUCUCCUCCUUCA
rnacentral:sRNA from 14 species